GACGAACGCUUGCGGCGUGCCUAAUACAUGCACGUAGGACGCAGUUGCGAACGGGUGAGUAACGCGUAGGUAACUACCUAUUAGAGGGGGAUAACUAUUGGAAACGAUAGCUAAUACCGCAUACUAGUAGAUGGACCUGCGUUGUAUUAGUUAGUAGGUAGGGUAAUGGCCUACCUAGGCAACGAUACAUAGCCGACCUGAGAGGCUGUUCGGCCACAAGGGGACUGAUGAACGGCCCAGACUCCUACGGGAGGCAGCGGUGGGGAGUCGUCGGAAAGGGGGGGAACCCUGACCGAGCAACGCCGCGUGAGUGAAGAAGGUUUUCGGAUCGUAGAGCUCUGUUGUUAAGGAAGCGGUACUUAACCAGAAAGGGACGGCUAACUACGUGCCAGCAGCCGCGGUAAUUC
rnacentral:rRNA from 1 species